UCUCGUCACUACACAACACUAACGAGAGAUUGAGAAUGCGCGAGAAGAUUCAACGAGGAUCGAAAUGGAAAGAGAGUUCUUCGGUAGAUGAAGUGAUGACUGACGGCAGCGAGGUCCUCGAGCAAACUGUGGUUGGGACACCUGGUCCCGCUUCCUUUAUUCGGUUUGGGCCCCAAGGAGUGGGGAGAGCGGGCGUAUUCUUAUUUAACAGCGAGUAGCAACGAUGACGAUAAUCAGGAAAGGAUGACGACGGUGACAUUGAAGCUGCUAAACCAACGAUUCAACGAUGGGACCUGAGGAUGCCAUAACGAUCAUUCACACCCGGCAACAGCCCCUGGUUCUUCCGUCCAGGUCCAUCGAGGUAUGGUCCAGGUUGUUGUUCCGUCUAGGUAGGCAGUGACAGGCGGUUGGCGACCAAUCAGAAAGAUGUAGCCUGAAAGAUGUAGCACCAAAACCUGGGGGAGAGAUACCACUAUUCGGCAUCAAAUGAUUAAAAUUAACGUUUACGGUUAUAUACACGCGUCCCGAUUAUAGUAGUAGUGUGCAUGUGAUUUACGACGAUGUGACAGACAAUUUAAGAGAAUUCCUUGUCGUACUCUAUAUUUUGAAUUCUGAAAUCCUGGUCUGUGUACUGCACCAAUGAGAAUUUACCACGUGUUUCUUAGCGAAUUACUGUGAUUCGUUGGCAGGCAAAGAAUGAUCAUUCAAAUUUUUCAGAAAACGAAAACUUUGAAAUCCUACCAACAGUCGUGUCUGCGAAAUGAUACACAAAAAUUUCCGACAAAGUUAUAGAUUGUCUGUAAUAUGAGGCUUAAAUACUCGAAUGAAUAAUCAGCGGUUUGUCAACUUUUUAUGAAUAUUACAUGCGUAUCAAGACAAUUUAACAAAUAUAUAAUUUUAUACGUGAUAAUACGAUCUAUUUUGAUCUUGCUUAUUAACGAUAGAAGCGAACAACACUAAAAAAGGUGAUAAGAUACCGCGUAUAUUAUGUCUAUCGAGUGUUUAUAAGCACUUGUUUUUUUUAAUUUCUACAAAUAUCAUCGGUCAUCUUAUAUUAUACUUGGCAUGUAUUUUCCGGUAAAUUACUUUCCGUCGGAUAACGCCAACCAAUUUCAUGUCCUAUAACGAAAAACGCCCUCUUUCUCUUCGUUAAUAUUUUAUAAAUAAUGCCUUGUAAUUCACAUGAUCAACGAUUACCUUGUCAUCUCGCUAAAGUGUUUAAUUCUGUUUACUCGAUAAUUUUACGCAUCGCAGCAUGUACACAUGGUCGUUUCGCCAUGUCGCGUUUUAUUGUGCACUUAUAAAUAUAUGUAAAUAGGAUAGUUAAAUUGCCGAAAACUGUGAAUAAGAACAGCCUUCUCAAAGUCAUUGUAAAUCAUUCAUAAAUAAUUAACAGAUUAUAAAAUAAUCGCAGAAUACAGUAAAGUGUAUAUCAAAA